GAAAUGCGAUAAGUAAUGUGAAUUGCAGAAUUCAGUGAAUCAUCGAAUCUUUGAACGCACCUUGCGCCCUCUGGUAUUCCGGAGGGCAUGCCUGUUUGAGUGUCAUGUAGACUCAACCCGGUCGGGUUUCCGACUGGGUUGGACUUGGGUGUUGCCGCCUGUGGCUCGCCUUAAAUGUGUUAGCGGGUGCAAGCGACCGAACCCGGCGUGAUAAGUUUCGCCGGUACCAGGGAGCAUGCCCGCUCAUAGCCGCCCUCGGGCACUUUUGACUCUGACCUCAAAUCAGGUAGGACUACCCGCUGAACUUAA
rnacentral:misc_RNA from 1 species